rnacentral:rRNA from 1 species
CGUAGGGGCAAGCGUUGUCCGGAAUUAUUGGGCGUAAAGCGCGCGCAGGCGGUCGGGUAAGUCUGAUGUUAAAGCCCGGGGCUCAACCCCGGUUCGCAUUGGAAACUGCUCGACUUGAGUGCAGAAGAGGAAAGCGGAAUUCCACGUGUAGCGGUGAAAUGCGUAGAGAUGUGGAGGAACACCAGUGGCGAAGGCGGCUUUCUGGUCUGUAACUGACGCUGAGGCGCGAAAGCGUGGGGAGCAAACAGGAUU